GCCAAGGUAGCUCAGUUGGUAGAGCAGCGGUUUUGUAAACCGCAGGUCGGGGGUUCGAAUCCCUUCCUUGGCU
rnacentral:tRNA from 2 species